rnacentral:rRNA from 1 species
GACGUAGGGCGCGAGCGUUGUCCGGAUUUAUUGGGCGUAAAGAGCUCGUAGGCGGCUUGUCACGUCGGGUGUGAAAGCCCGGGGCUUAACCCCGGGUCUGCAUUCGAUACGGGCAGGCUAGAGUGUGGUAGGGGAGAUCGGAAUUCCUGGUGUAGCGGUGAAAUGCGCAGAUAUCGGGAGGAACACCAGUAGCGAAGGCGGCACUCUGGGCCGGUACUGACGCUGAGGAGCGAAAGCGUGGGGAGCGAACAGG